rnacentral:rRNA from 1 species
UACGUAGGGUGCGAGCGUUAAUCGGAAUUACUGGGCGUAAAGCGUGCGCAGGCGGUUUGUUAAGUCCGCUGUGAAAGCCCCGGGCUCAACCUGGGAAUGGCGGUGGAAACUGGCGAGCUAGAGUGUAGCAGAGGGGGGUGGAAUUCCACGUGUAGCAGUGAAAUGCGUAGAGAUGUGGAGGAACACCAACGGCGAAAGCACUCUGCUGGGCCGACACUGACACUGAGAGACGAAAGCUAGGGGAGCGAAUGGG